GAUGAAGAACGUAGCGAAAUGCGAUAAGUAAUGUGAAUUGCAGAAUUCAGUGAAUCAUCGAAUCUUUGAACGCACAUUGCGCCCGCCAGUAUUCUGGCGGGCAUGCCUGUUCGAGCGUCAUUUCAACCAUCAAGCCCCAGGCUUGUGUUGGGGACCUGCGGCUGCCGCAGGCCCUGAAAACCAGUGGCGGGCUCGCUGUCACACCGGGCGUAGUAGUUUUUAUCUCGCUCAGGGCGUGCUGCGGGUUCCGGCCGUUAAAAAGCCUUUUUUACCCAAGGUUGACCUCGGAUCAGGUAGGAAGACCCGCUGAACUUAAGCAUAUCAAUAAGCGGAGGA
rnacentral:misc_RNA from 1 species